CCGCAGGAUGACUCAGGGCAGCCCUGGCCACAGUUCCGCCGCCACCGGCCCUAGCCUGCGGAGUUGGGCCCGUCCCGGGACGAUAACGGAGCUCUGCCGGGGGACUGGAGGCACUGACCGGGUGACCAGAGACCCAGAGACCAGAGCCCCUCCACGGCGCCCGGGACUUCAGGGACGGCUCCUCCCAUCGCAACUAAGGCUUGGACGGGAGGCGACAAAAGAGAACUUGGUCCGCACACAGCCACCGGAAUUGGAAUAAGGAGCUGUAGGGAGGCCCCGUAGCUAGCAGAAAAGCAUUGGAGUCCCUGGCUGGGUUAGCCCAGGUUUCUAGGAGUGUGGUAAGCAUCGAAUGACCUUUGUCCUUUUAAGGCACAUUAUGUUAGUUUUCCCCAAGGUUUCAACAGAAAAUGAGAAAUAUCCCCUGACGAUUGACUGAAAACAUGCAGCAACCACUAUUUUCCUGCUCCUCGUUGAUAAGAGCAUUGGAAGUGACCUCAGCGGGGGAUCCAGGUCAGUUUCUGGAAGACUUGUGCGUGUAGUGAAUGAAUAUCUGGUUUUGUCUCUGCUGGGCCUGUGUGCCUGGAAAGGAAUCAUUUUGGCCUAGGAUCAUCCAGGUUUGUUUGGUUUAGUUCUUGACCACAUAUUUUUUGAAUGGUGACUGCUUAAGAACCUAUUGUGUAUGGCUAUAAAUAGACUCAGACGCCAAGGUGAGUUUUCACAUGCUCCGCGCUUCCCAUGCCCACCGGCCACGUGUCUGAGUGUGUAGCCUCUAAUCAUCUAAGGGAACUUUGGCUGCAGAGGGGAGGCCUGGUCCCAUGGGAAGUUUUGGGAGCACAGCAGCAGGUGGGUUCAAACAACCCAGCAGGUGCCUCCUCAGCACUUAGAAGCGGAGGCCACCACGUUGUUGACAUGUUCAGCUCCCAGCUCCCCGCCAGCCUGCCCGACCUGGGACAGGUCCCUCCCUGUGUCUUCCUCCAUUACUUCUUCAGUAAGAUGGGACAGUGAAGAUGGCCAUGCCUCCCACCAGAUUGGUGCUUUUUUUUCUUUUUUUUUCUUUUUUUAAUAAGGGACAGAGUCUCACUAUGUUGCC